GGGCGUUUGGCAGAACGGUGAUGCACCUCCCUCUUAAGGAGACUGACGUAGGUUCGACCCCUACAGCGCCCACCA
rnacentral:tRNA from 2 species